UACGAAGGGGGCUAGCGUUGUUCGGAAUCACUGGGCGUAAAGCGCACGCAGGCGGAUUGUUAAGUCAGGGGUGAAAUCCCGAGGCUCAACCUCGGAACUGCCUUUGAUACUGGCAAUCUUUGAGUCCGGGAGAGGUGAGUGGAACUCCGAGUGUAGAGGUGAAAUUCGUAGAUAUUAGGAAGAACACCGGUGGCGAAGGCGGCCCACUGGAUCGGCACUGACGCUGAGGUGCGAAAGCGUGGGGAGCAAACAGG
rnacentral:rRNA from 1 species